rnacentral:rRNA from 1 species
CGGGUAACGGGGUGUUAGGGCACGACACCGGAGAGGGAGCCUGAGAAACGGCUACCACAUCCAAGGAUGGCAGCAGGCGCGCAAAUUACCCAAUCCCGACACGGGGAGGUAGUGACAAUAAAUAACAAUACGGGGUUCUUUCGGAUCUCGUAAUUGGAAUGAGUACAAUUUAAAUCUCUUAACGAGGAACAAUUGGAGGGCAAGUCUGGUGCCAGCAGCCGCGGUAAUUCCAGCUCCAAUAGCGUAUAUUAAAGUUGUUGCAGUUAAAAAGCUCGUAGUUGAAUUUCGGGAUCAAAUUGUCGGUCGUGCCUCGGUACGAACUGGUAUUAUUGGUUCCUCCCUUCUGAAGAACCGCGAUGUCAUUAAUUUGGUGUCGUGGGGAAUCAGGACUGUUACUUUGAAAAAAUUAGAGUGUUUAAAGCAGGCGCACGCUUGAAUACAUUAGCAUGGAAUAAUGAAAUAGGACGUUUGAUUCUAUUUUGUUGGUUUCUAGGAUUGACGUAAUGAUUAAUAGGGAUAGUUGGGGGCAUUAGUAUUCAAUUGUCAGAGGUGAAAUUCUUGGAUUUAUUGAAGACUAACUACUGCGAAAGCAUUUGCCAAGGAUGUUUUCAUUAAUCAAGAACGAAAGUUAGGGGAUCGAAGACGAUCAGAUACCGUCGUAGUCUUAACCAUAAACUAUGCCGACUAGGGAUCGGAUGAUGUUAAUUUUUUAAUGACUCAUUCGGCGCCUUACGG